UCCGAAACUCUUUCAACUGGUGGAAUGCAACUGGUCAGUGCUUGUACCAAAACCCUUUUGGACUCGAGAGGGAAAGCCGCGGCAAUGGAGAAAUUCUCGAUCUCAAUACUCCUAAUAAUCUCACUCCUCCCCUUUCUCUGCUCCUCCUUCUCACAAGAAUCCCCAACCGAUCGCCGGAUUCUAGUCUUGCUCGAUGAUUUCUCUCUGAAAUCCUCCCACUCCAUUUUCUUCAGCUCACUCAAGUCUCGUGGGUUCGACCUCGAUUUCAAGCUUGCCGACGAUCCCAAGCUCGCGCUUCAGAGAUAUGGCCAGUACUUGUAUGAUGGCUUGGUUCUCUUCUCUCCUUCUGUUGAGAGAUUUGGAGUUGCAUUGGAUUUAGCGGCUGUGCUUGACUUCGUUGACUCGGGCCAUGACUUGAUUGUAGCCGCUGAUGCUUCUGCAUCUGAUUUGAUUAAGAGCAUUGCCACAGAAUGUGGAGUUGAUUUUGAUGAAGAUCCAUCGGCUUUGGUUAUCGAUCACAAAAACUUUGCAGUCUCAGAGAUCGAAGGCGAUCACACGUUGAUUGCUGCAGAUGAUUUGAUUCAAUCUGAUGUUAUACUGGGAAAAACUAAAAUUGAGGCCCCUGUACUUUUUAAAGGUAUUGCACAUUCUAUAAAUGCGGCCAAUGGCCUGGCCUUGAAAGUCCUUUCAGCUUCUCCUUCAGCAUAUUCAGCUAAUCCUAAUUCUAAGCUGUCAAGUCCCCCAUCACUCACCGGAUCUGCUAUCUCAUUAGUUUCAGUAAUGCAGGUAAGUUGCAUCUCAUUAUCAACCAAACUCUUAUCUCUCCUCCCCCUGCCCCUCAUUGCCAACACACUCACGCGCUCGCGCUCGCGCACAGAGACGUAUACAAAAGCAUUCAUGAGUUGACAUGGUGAAUCUACUGCGAUAAAUGUUUUCGUUUUCUGAUUUCUUAUUGGAUUUAUGUAGAUUUAUAGUUAUAUUCUCGCGUCAGGUUCUGCUGGCCAAGUGGCCAUUCUAUUGGUGUGCCAUUAUGCAUGUCUUUGUAGCUAUAGAAUGAAGAUAUUUACAUCUUCCGAUUAAGCAAGAAGGUAACUUUGAUAUGUGGUUCUGGUGAAUGUGUCUACUUGAUGGUAUAAUAAUCUCCAUAAGACGUUCUAGUGGGUUGAUAGAUAAUGCUUCUCUGUUCAUAGUGACACUGCAUUAAUUAUUUGACUAUAAUGGCCCAGUGGCAAUUAUAAACUUUAUACCUGGCUUUAGCUUUGAUGAAAAGAAAUUUUACAGGUAUGUUCUCUCUGUUUACAGUUUUUAUGUGAUGCAGGCUAGAAACAAUGCUCGAAUUAUGAUUACUGGCUCCUUAGAUAUGUUUAGUAACCGGUUUUUCAGAUCAGGUGUGCAGAAUGCUGAGAGUGCAAUAAAAUAUGAUAAAUCUGGUAAUGAGCAGUUUGUGGCUGAACUUACCAAAUGGAUCUUCCAUGAAAGAGGUCAUCUAAAGGCUGUUAACGUUAGGCAUCACAAACUUGGGGAAACUGAUGAACCUGCAAUGUAUAGGAUCAAAGAUGACCUGGAAUUUUAUGUUGAGAUAUAUGAAUGGUCUGGAAAGAGCUGGGAACCAUAUGUGGCCAAUGAUGCUCAGGUUCAGUUCUACAUGAUGAGCCCUUAUGUGUUGAAAACCCUAUCAACUGACCAGAAGGGUCUGUAUCAUACAACAUUCAAGGUGCCUGAUGUGUACGGGGUUUUCCAGUUUAAGGUUGAGUAUGAGAGGCUUGGAUACACUAGCUUGUCCCUUUCCAAACAGAUUCCAGUUCGGCCCUUCAGACACAAUGAAUAUGAGAGAUUUAUAACAACUGCCUUUCCCUAUUAUGGAGCUUCUUUUGCUACGAUGGCUGGCUUCUUUAUCUUCAGUUUUGUCUACCUGUACAACAAGUGAAGUCCUGUUACCAUAAAGAGGAUGUGAAUUAUGUUGGCAUAAUGAAGGUUUCUUUUAAGCCUUUCCGAGGAAAAAACAAAAAUUUGAGUGCUUCUGCAAAAUUUUCAACUCAAAUUUAUUACUUGGAAUAGAACUAAGAUAUAACAGUAUUGUGCUGAAGUUUGCAGCAUCAAUUUCAGCUGUCUCAUUCUGCCCCUAUAAAAGUGUUGCUGGUUAGUAUCAGGACAGCUGAAUCCCAGUUAGUAGGUCUAGCUGAGGUCGAGUCUAAUCAGUGGAUUGAUUCAUGAUAACUUUUUUGUGACAAGAUUAGGUCUUUGAAAAUUUUUGGAAAAUUACAAAUGUGCUAAUAGGUGGGUGGUUAAUGAUUUGCCAUUUUUUUUUUUUCUCUUUUUUCAUGUUUUUGUUUUUAACUGAAGAUUGAACUUGAUUGAUCCUUGAGUUGACAUUAGAAAACGAAAGAGCCUCUAAUUAAGGUAUGGGGGAUUAACGUGACAUUUGUACGAUGGAAUAGCCGUUCAUUGGGCUGAUAGUAGGCAGCAAGGUCGCCAGUUAGUUGUUAAUGUCUUGAUUCAACCCUUCUUCGUAGCGUCUCUUUACAGUGUGGUAACGAAUAGAACUGGCCAUGAUCCUUGGAGCAUUUUGAUAUG
rnacentral:misc_RNA from 1 species